CUAAAUAUUUGCUCAUGUGGCUAUUAUUCUGAGAAUAAAGAUCUGAAUAUUUUGCUCAGAAUUAUUUUUAUUUUUCAGUGAAGUAAGAAAAAUAACACUGUAGAUUUUUCGGUUGAAAUCUAACAUAGAAUUAAAUAGAUAGGGCAUCUUCCUUGGAUUCUAAAAUGGCUAUAGAAAUUUGAAGAUUUACUUAUUAAUUUUUAUAACAUUUACAAGAUUUCUCCAAGGCAAGUACUUUCUUAUAUGGAGGCUUCAUCUUUGCUUAAGACCUUGCUUAUAGGAAGAAACCAAGCAACCAACCAGCCAAGUAACUCACUUUUUUCUUCUUUCUGCUAUGAAUUUUCUGGUGUAUGAUAAUUGUCAUUUCAUCAUCUCACCUGCAGACUCCGUAUCUCCAACUUGUAAUCUGGGGACUUACUCUUUGAGAAAAAUAGAAGAUCCUGUCAGUUUUCCUUGCCAAUUCCACUGGAAGAAGGAAUCCAAGGGAAAAAGAUAAAGUGAAAGGAGUUGCAACAGAAACUUACUUGAUAAGUAUUCUCUGACAUCAGCAUCCACUGAGAUUCAUGUAAGAUGAGAGCUGGUUUCAGGAACCUUAUGAAAAUGAAUUUAUCGUAAUGAAUUAUUUUUUGGUUCUGCGAAAUAAUUACUUUCUUAUUGGAAGUAAUUGAUUGGGAGCACUUUGCUCUACAGGUUAACUGUGAUAAAUCUAAGUUGAGAUGAA